UACGUAGGGUGCAAGCGUUGUCCGGAAUUAUUGGGCGUAAAGAGCUCGUAGGCGGCUUGUCGCGUCGACUGUGAAAACCUGGGGCUUAACUCCGGGCCUGCAGUCGAUACGGGCAAGCUAGAGUUCGGUAGGGGAGAUUGGAAUUCCUGGUGUAGCGGUGGAAUGCGCAGAUAUCAGGAGGAACACCGAUGGCGAAGGCAGAUCUCUGGGCCGUAACUGACGCUGAGGAGCGAAAGCGUGGGGAGCGAACAGG
rnacentral:rRNA from 1 species